GCUACAGAAACUCAUGUGUGUGAGACUGGCCCUCUGAACGGGGCCUGCCACUGCAGACCUGCUGUGACUGAACCUCCUUCCACUGCUGCAGAAGUUCAGAAGUAUAAUCUGUCACUUGUGAGAACAUAAAGAAUUGGACUGGAAGCAUUCCAAACUCUUUACUGUUUGCCCAAUGGACUGGGAAGCUGAAACACAUUCCAUGUGCCCGCAUGAUCCAUGUCCAAUGGAUUAUUCUUCUGACAUGACAGUGUAAGGCUGGCAUUUGCUUAGCAGGGUCUUGCAAAAUCAGUGAAGGCUGAAGCAGCAAAUUUUCUAUGCAGCCGAAAAUAAAAUGCUUUUGGAAAGUUAAGACUUGAAGACUAUGAAGAGCUUCCGAAGGGUCUAACCCAGGCCAG